GCACUAGAUAUAGCCGAGCGGUCUAGGGGCGGCGUUGUGGGUUUGUCCGCAUUUGCGAGUGGGGGGCGGAGCGUCCGGGUGGUUGCGUGGUCGAGGGACUUCUCUUCUGGUCCUGUCUGUGGGGUCGGUGUCGGGCACGGUACACUUGGUGGAGUGGGUGUGAUCAGUGAGUGAUCUGUGAUGCUCCGAUUUGGGAGUGGGGACGGCGUUUUUGCUUUUGUCGGCCCUGGUUGCGAUGACUUGCUCCUUAGUUAGCCACGCACGUGUCUGCUCUAUGCACUGUUUCGUUCUGGCCGUCAUUGGCUUGUCUGUGUUGGGCUGGGUUCUGGAUCUCAGGUGUGAACGUGCUGCCAUCCACCUGGCUUUCUGUUUCUCGACGUCCGUGGGGUCGGCGGCGGUGGGGAGAUUUUCGAUUCCGCGGGCGGCGUCUGCUGGGCUGCAUCGGUCGUCUGCGACAGAGUUUGGGCCGAAUCUUGGUGCUUCUUUGAUGAAGACAGGUGCCUCUUGGGAGCAGUAGGAGACUGUUUCUGCUGAGAAGUCGCGCUGCUUGGGUCGGUCCAGCGGUUGAGUUUUCAUUAACCAUUUGAGCUUUUUAACAUAUCUUUUUUUAGUAUCGAAU
rnacentral:lncRNA from 1 species